rnacentral:misc_RNA from 1 species
CCACGAUUGCCAAGGUCCCUGAGAGGUGGUAAUGUUCAAAUUGUGAUUGUUAAUUCUGUCUGGAUAUUUUCAAGAGUCCUUCGAUUGUUCCAAUAAUACGUUCUCGAAUAAAAUAUAACUAUGCGCUAAUUGCAUGCAGUGAUAGGUUGCAACUAGGCAAUCCAUUCAAUAGAGAAGCGGUGUGGAGGUUUGACGUAUUGCCCCGUAAGGUCCAACACGUUGAAGAGAAAGAAAGGAUUGGAAGAUCAUAUAAAAUAGCUUUUUAUGUGGAUUAUAAAAUAUUUAUCAAAAAGUAAAGAAAGACUAACGAUGAAUAAUUACUCCCUUGGCGACACGUACACAAAACAAGAAGUUUAGGACAAGAACGACGAUUUCAUCACAACUAGGCCUACUGCUGGAAUCCAUUAUCAAUUCUACAUCGAGAGAGAACAAUACGAACUUCAUUAGAGUGGCCAUAGGGUAUUGACUUUCAUUUCAUUUCGUGAUUAAUUCAUUAAUAAAAAGCAUCAUGUCAACACUCAGCGAGGAAAAUGUGGCAAAGUUUAACCAAAGGCAGAGGAAGGUGUCGUCAUUGGCACGUGAUGGAGCGACUGAUUCGGCUGUCACGGGACCGACAAUCCGAAGAAUCUCCCGGGCGGAAGCCCAGGGAGCCGGGGGUGGAUUGGGAGUUCCUGGACGUCGGAUAUCUUCGUAUGGACGCGAGCGGCGACUCAGCUCAUCAGACCGUAGCGGAGGAUUAACAAGCCGCCCCGAACCCGUGCCCACAAUCGUGAAAGUUCAGAACACGUAUCAGAUGGAGCCCACCACCAAUAACAAGUUCAACCCAUCUCGUGUAGAAAAGGUGGCGCUGAGUAUUUUGGAUACGUACCUCGACUGUGAGGAUUAUAAUGGUAAAAAGAUGUCGCAUCUAAGCCAGACAUUGUCAGAAAUGAUAAAAAACAGAGUGAAAGAAAUGAACUUCCCACGUUAUAAAAUAGUCUGUGUAGUCACCAUCGGGCAGAAUUGUGGUCAGGAUUUUCGGUCCGCCAGUAGGUGUCUAUGGGACAGGGACAAUGAUACAUUUGCUACAGUCACAUUCAAGAACAGCUCCUUGUUCGCAAUUGCCAAUGUGUAUGCAACGUAUUUUGAAUGAAAUGAAAGCGUUCAAAAUAAAUGGAUAUUAACUACACGGGUAUGCCUAUAUUUCAAGCACAAGUGCCCACCAGGAGUAAAUAUGGAAGCUAUAGACCAUAGACAUUAUAUUGAACACGGUGUGAUCUACAUUGUAUGUUGGAUGCUGAUCAUGACUAUUUUCAAGCGAAAAGUACAAUUCUGAAAAUUUGUACGUGACUUGUGUUCGUCGGCUUUGUCGAUUUUUUCACAUAUGACAUGUUGCAAUGGAAAAAGGUUUUCUAUUUAUUUUGUACUUUUGUUACACGAACCAAGGCCAAGUAGUUACAAAACGAUUCCAGGGAAAAUACUCUCCAUGCAAUAAAAGAGAUGAACUUUAAAAUCCUUAAAGUAUGAUAAAACUAUUUUUUAACAAGUAUCACUUCUUUAUAAAACUAGAAAUGCAUUCACAUAUCUGGAGAACGCUCUAUACAGUUUCAAUGCAAAAUCAAAUGUAUGUUAACGAAAGGUAUGUUCAUUCAUAGUAUAGCUACAAAUCAAUUUUAAACAACGGAUGGGAAAUUGAGUGCAAUAAACUAAGAUGACGUCAAAUCACAUGUUUUUAUUAUACAAUAGCGCUAUUAUGAAUGUAUAAAUUUGAAAUAAAUUAAAAACGCAACAAUU